rnacentral:rRNA from 1 species
AACGUAGGAGGCGAGCGUUAUCCGGAAUCACUGGGCGUAAAGGGCGUCUAGGCGGCACGACAAGCGAGGUGUGAAAGCUUCUGGCUCAACCAGGAGAGUGCGCUUCGGACUGUCGAGCUUGGAGGGCAGGUGAAGGGGGUGGAAUUCCCGGUGGAGUGGUGGAAUGCGUAGAGAUCGGGAGGAACACCAGUGGCGAAAGCGGCCCCCUGGCCUGUAUCUGACGCUGAAGCGCGAAAGCGUGGGGAGCAAACGGG